CCGAAGGUGGCGGAAUUGGUAGACGCGCUAGCUUCAGGUGUUAGUGUCCUUACGGACGUGGGGGUUCAAGUCCCCCCCCUCGCACCA
rnacentral:tRNA from 1 species